AAGUGAUUUUUGCGAGUGUUAAAUAUGAUCCAUAAAAAUGAGGUAAAUUUUAAUGUAUUUUUUCAGGUAGCCAAUGAUUGAAGAAAUGUUGGGUAAUUUCUACAUGUGCUACCCAUUCGUUAACAUUAAAAACUAUUAGAUAGGAAAUUACAGUAAAAUCUACCCCGAUUCUUAAGUCCGGUGCUCCAAAGUUGCGCAUGCGUCAGACCGCGUUUUUGAAAGAGAAGCGGGACAAGGAACUCUGGAUCCUCUCUGCCAUCGAACCGGGAGCUGAAGAUCAAGGAAGAGUUCAGACUUAUCGACAGUUUCCUUGGAGGAGACAUUCAUGCUAAAGCUUGAUGAGAACACACCAGGUCUUCUGCAGCUUAGUGCUAAAGGAGGGGCUGCUGGUUCAAAGAUGCACCUUCUGCUGGACACUUUAAAUGACCCACAGAGCAUUGAGGAAAAAAAGGGAUACAGUUGUCUGCUGCCUCAUUAACUACUUUGGUGAAAGACAAGAAGAUCUUUUCCAUGACUGCCAGGAAUGUGAGGACCACACAGACAAAACAAUGACGGUGAUCGUGAUGCACAACAUCAUGGCUGAGGAGGAUCCAUCAGAUUGUGAUUGAGGGAAACCAAGUGAUGGAAGGAUGUGGAAGCCGAACAAAGGCAUGUGUACUGCUGAUGGGACUCAUAUUUGCCCUCAACCUGGACUAUCCAAAGCAGCUCAAGAACACAUUUGAAGCUUUUCAAAAACUUUUUUUGGAAAGUGAUGGGGCAAAACUACUGAAGAAGGUCCACAGUCUGAAGAACAAGCUCAAGGCAUACAUUUUCCGUCCUGUUCCAAGAGGAUCUUUUGUCUGGACAGAGUUUUAAGGUAGUAUAGCUUUUUUUUAUUAGUGUUCUGUUCUGUCCUCUGCUCCACACACAGACACAGACAUAUAUGUGGAUACAUAAGUACGUUGCAGCCUCUCUCAGCCCACUCCAUUGUUCUCUGAUUUCUGAAAAUGGAAAAACAAUGUAAACUGGACAGUCUGGUCAUUAACACUGACUGAAUUCUGACAAAUUUAAAAAUCACCUCUUUCCCAAUUUCGUUGUUUCUGUUAUUGUCAUUCUACCUGAAUGAGUGCAACUAUAUUAACUGAAGACUGUUGUUUUUCUGAUCUGUUUUCAUCCACAUGUACACACGCAGAAAAAAAAAGUAUUACAGUUUGUGUGUGGGUUUUGAAGCUUUUGGAAUAGAAUAAGGGGACUCUUAAAGUUUGGUUGCAUUAAAUACUUAUCCAGAGACAACAUAUGUAGCCGUUAGCUCAGUGUGUUAUAA